GACGAACGCUGGCGGCGUGCUUAACACAUGCAAGUCGAACGGAAAGGCCCUGCUUUUGUGGGGUGCUCGAGUGGCGAACGGGUGAGUAACACGUGAGUAACCUGCCCUUGACUUUGGGAUAACUUCAGGAAACUGGGGCUAAUACCGGAUAGGAGCUCCUGCUGCAUGGUGGGGGUUGGAAAGUUUCGGCGGUUGGGGAUGGACUCGCGGCUUAUCGGCUUGUUGGUGGGGUAGUGGCUUACCAAGGCUUUGACGGGUAGCCGGCCUGAGAGGGUGACCGGCCACAUUGGGACUGAGAUACGGCCCAGACUCCUACGGGAGGCAACAGUGGGGAAUAUUGCACAAGGGGCGGAAGCCUGAUGCAGCAACGCCGCGUGCGGGAUGACGGCCUUCGGGUUGUAAACCGCUUUCGCCUGUGACGAAGCGUGAGUGACGGUAAUGGGUAAAGAAGCACCGGCUAACUACGU
rnacentral:rRNA from 1 species